UACGUAGGGCGCAAGCGUUAUCCGGAAUUAUUGGGCGUAAAGAGCUCGUAGGCGGUUUGUUGCGUCGGCUGUGAAAACCCGGGGCUCAACUCCGGGCCUGCAGCCGAUACGGGCAGACUAGAGUUCGGCAGGGGAGACUGGAAUUCCUGGUGUAGCGGUGAAAUGCGCAGAUAUCAGGAGGAACACCGGUGGCGAAGGCGGCUCUCUGGGACGGUACUGACGCUGAGACGCGAAAGCGUGGGGAGCGAACAGG
rnacentral:rRNA from 1 species